GGUAGACAGCAGAGGCUGAGGAGGGUGGAGGGAGAGGGUGGUAACCAGCCAGUUGUAUGAAUUAGAACUGGAAAGGAAGAAUACGUUCUGACCUUUGGUGCACACCAAGGGUGACUGGCUAACACUACCACAUCAAACAUAGCCAACACCUGGAAGAAAUUAUUUUGAAUGUUCUAAUAAGAAAGAAAUAACAACUGUAUGAUCAGUCUUUUAAAAGUUUCUCAAUUGAAGUAAUUUAGAAGAUCAGUGGUUAAGGCGACAACCAUCAACAUAAUGGACGCUUCCUCUGUCCUUUCUCUUCAGAGUCUCCCAGAAUUCUGGCUGCUUUCAAGAGAUGGAUUUCUCUUCAGAUUUGUGGUCACCUUUAAUGGUGGCUCACUAUCUAGAAGAUAAGACAGAAACCAGCUGAAGCAGGGACAGCAGAAAUAUGGCUUGUGCCUUGCUCGGCUCACCACGUGUUUUCUCGGCUGGAGGAAGUGACUCAGGCUGGAUAAAAGUGAAACGGAUCUUCAGCCAUGUCUGAAAUGCCACGAAGAAAGAAUCUCUUUCUCAGAAGGGAGAUCGCUGCUACCAGGUCAACCGGUAAGCUAAUCAGCCCUCACAGACAGGGCAACCCCAAGAUGUCUCUGAGAGAUGAGAUGUUUCUUUAUCAAGAUGUCCUGGGGGUAAAUGUCACACCUCCUCCAACUCAGCCAUUUCAGAGCAAGACACUGUCAUUUUCUAGAGAGUCUUUGUGAGGCCAAGUUAACUCCUAAACUCACAGGAGCAUUGCUUUGGGGCUGGCCUUCAGAACAAGAUGGGAGUGUGUCUUUAUAACAAUCACAUUAGCAGGGAGCCCGAGAGUCCCCAGAAACUGCUUCCUGACAAGGAUGUCGAGCAUGUCAUCUGUGAAGACACUCUGUGGGCGAGACUACACAUUCAUUUCUUACCUAGGAGACUACUGUCUCCUCUAACACGACUAAAGGAAGUCAUGUCUGAGAACAAAACCAACUUGCCUGGAAAACAGGACAUAAAAACCCAAGAAUCAGAAGAGUAAGCGAUACCAUUUAAAAUAUCAACUUAAUUAAACAAAUAAUGGUAUCUCUCACUAGAAUGCAAUUUCCCAGGGAGACCAAAUCAACCAAACGUUAAGGCCAGCCAUCUUUCAGUCUUUCCCAGUGACAAACAUUGUUUCCUUGGAAGGGGCUCUUCUGAAUGUUGGGAAGUCACGACACAGCUGCUCAAGCCAUAUGGGCAAUUAUGUGUCACACAGAACCCGAGGACCAGGUUUCUGUCCAUGUCACAUCUGCCCUGGUGACCUGCCAUGACACAAGCAGGCCUUGCUUGGCUCUCAUACCCACAGGAGCCGGUCACCACCUUCGUGUUCUCACUUUGACAGAGAUUUCCCUUCCCUUUGGUGUGGUGAUAUAGUGUGUACCCCAGUAAAGCUUACCUGAGGAUCAGAGAACAGAGCCAGCCACAAGUGCUUACCUCUGGGGAUCAGAGGACAGAACCAGCCACUAAAUUAGACACAGAGGUCAGGCAGUGGUGGCACACACCCUUAAUCCUAUCACUCCUCUUGGGAGGCAGAGAUCCAUCUGGAUCUCUAUGAGUUCAAGGCCACACUGGGCUACAUGAGAGAAACAGAACCAGGCAGUCAGUGGUGACACACACCUUUAAUCCUAGGAAGUAAUGUGGCAGGACACAGAAAGGUAUAUAAGGUGUGAGGAAACAGGAACUCUCUCUCUUGAGGCUGAGGAUUUCGUAGAGGUAAGACUUGUGGCUGGCUUGCUCUGAUUCUCUGGUCCCCAGGUAAGCUUUAUUGGGGUACACAAUAUAUCACCACACUUUGGUUUAAGGGCUGCAGGCCUCUGACUUCUCCGUGUUCUAGAACAGAACUAAGAGAAUCCAGCCUAUCACCUUUACAGCUCUCAUCAUUUGAGACACUGUGACCACCAGAAUGGAUUAUCCAACAGUCAAAACCACACAUGACAUAGAACUACCAAGUGUGUGGGUGUCCUACUUUUCUGCUGCUAUGACAGAACACCCCAGCAGAAGCAGCUUUUAGGGGGAGGGGCUUUAUUCAGCUCACAGAUCCAGCCCGUCAUUGUGGGUAAGUCAAGGCAGGAACUUGAACCCCCUAGACACAUGAUAUGGAGCAGACAGGGAUGGGUACGUGCAUACCCUCUCCUCUGUUCACUUUCUCUGCUCUUAGACUAUUCAGGACCCAAACCCAAGUGCUGCCCACUAUGAGCCUGGGUCUUUGUACAACCAACACAAUGCUCUACAGACACACAGGUCACAUGUAUGUCCACAGGUCACAUGUAUGUCCACAGGUCAACCUAGUUCCGACAAUCCCUCUUUGAGACUGUCUUCCUUGGUGGCUCUAGACUGUGACAAGUUGACAAUUAAAGCUGACCAUCUUGAUAACUAAAAACCAAGAGAUUAGGGAAGACUUUUCCUCUCAGUGUCCAUACACAGUAUC